rnacentral:rRNA from 1 species
UGCAGUCGAGCGGAACGAUCCUAGCUUGCUAGGAGGCGUCGAGCGGCGGACGGGUGAGUAAUGCAUGGGAAUCUGCCCGAUAGUGGGGGACAACCUGGGGAAACUCAGGCUAAUACCGCAUACGUCCUACGGGAGAAAGCAGGGGAUCUUCGGACCUUGCGCUAUCGGAUGAGCCCAUGUCGGAUUAGCUUGUUGGUGAGGUAACGGCUCACCAAGGCGACGAUCCGUAGCUGGUCUGAGAGGAUGAUCAGCCACACUGGGACUGAGACACGGCCCAGACUCCUACGGGAGGCAGCAGUGGGGAAUAUUGGACAAUGGGCGAAAGCCUGAUCCAGCCAUGCCGCGUGUGUGAAGAAGGCCUUCGGGUUGUAAAGCACUUUCAGCGAGGAAGAACGCUUGUGGGUUAAUACCCCGCAAGAAAGACAUCACUCGCAGAAGAAGCACCGGCUAACUCCGUGCCAGCAGCCGCG